rfam:Cavia porcellus supercont2_38 genomic scaffold, whole genome shotgun sequence.
CUAAAGGCUCUUUUCAGAGCCACUACGUUUUCAUUAAAAAAGCUGU